AUGAACGCUGGCGGCGUGCCUCAUACCUGCAAGUCGAGCGCACAGAUGAGGAGCUUGCUCCUCUGACGUUAGCGGCGGACGGGUGAGUAACACGUGGAUAACCUACCUAUAAGACUGGGAUAACUUCAGGAAACCGGAGCUAAUACCGGAUAAUAUAUUGAACCGCAUGGUUCAAUAGUGAAAGACGGUUUUGCUGUCACUUAUAGAUGGAUCCGCGCCGCAUUAGCUAGUUGGUAAGGUAACGGCUUACCAAGGCAACGAUGCGUAGCCGACCUGAGAGGGUGAUCGGCCACACUGGAACUGAGACACGGUCCAGACUCCUACGGGAGGCAGCAGUAGGGAAUCUUCCGCAAUGGGCGAAAGCCUGACGGAGCAACGCCGCGUGAGUGAUGAAGGUCUUCGGAUCGUAAAACUCUGUUAUUAGGGAAGAACAAAUGUGUAAGUAACUAUGCACGUCUUGACGGUACCUAAUCAGAAAGCCACGGCUAACUACGUG
rnacentral:rRNA from 1 species